UGGGGAGCUCAGCUCACCCUUCACUUACUCAUAAUGUCAUAAAAUCAAAUGGGAGCUUAGCUCCCUCAUACAAUCUAAUCAUACAUGCAUCUAAUAAUUUUACAGAUCCAACACGACAUUAUAUUACAAACCUAAUUCAAAUAAAACAUCACAGACAUUAAUAGAUGACCUGCGAGGGAGAGAGGCAGGUUAGAACUCAAUAAGAAAUCUUCUAUAUCACACCCAAUAAUACUUAAACAGUGCAUAUAUGAGAGUCAAUCCCCCUAUACAGCUCUCUUAAUCCA
rnacentral:misc_RNA from 1 species